CCUACGGGAGGCAGCAGUCGAGAAUCAUUCACAAUGGGGGAAACCCUGAUGGUGCGACGCCGCGUGGGGGAAUGAAGGUCUUCGGAUUGUAAACCCCUGUCAUGUGGGAGCAAAUUAAAAAGAUAGUACCACAAGAGGAAGAGACGGCUAACUCUGUGCCAGCAGCCGCGGUAAUCCAGAGGUCUCAAGCGUUGUUCGGAAUCACUGGGCGUAAAGCGUGCGUAGGCUGUUUCGUAAGUCGUGUGUGAAAGGCGCGGGCUCAACCCGCGGACGGCACAUGAUACUGCGAGACUAGAGUAAUGGAGGGGGAACCGGAAUUCUCGGUGUAGCAGUGAAAUGCGUAGAUAUCGAGAGGAACACUCGUGGCGAAGGCGGGUUCCUGGACAUUAACUGACGCUGAGGCACGAAGGCCAGGGGAGCGAAAGGGAUUAGAUACCCUAGUAGUC
rnacentral:rRNA from 1 species